AACCCUCUCGACCCCACCCCUUUUGCCCUGGGGGGGUGGGUUUGGAUUUGGACGCCUGCGGGUCGGAAAGGCCCGCUCGUCUUUAAACGCAUUAGCCGGUCCCUCAUGGUCGGUCCCGACGACGGUGUGAUAACAAACGCUUAGUGCGCCGCUCGUCGCCGACCCGGGUCGCUUACAGCCGUCUUUGGACAAACGAAAGACCCCUUUCAUGUC
rnacentral:misc_RNA from 1 species